UACGUAGGGUGCGAGCGUUGUCCGGAAUUAUUGGGCGUAAAGGGCUCGUAGGCGGUCUGUCGCGUCGGUAGUGAAAACUCAGGGCUUAACCCUGAGCCUGCUUCCGAUACGGGCAGACUAGAGGUAUGCAGGGGAGAAUGGAAUUCCUGGUGGAGCGGUGAAAUGCGUAGAUAUCGUUUGGAACGCCAAUGGUGAAAACAGGUUGCUGGGAGUGUGCUGACGCUGAGACACGAAAGCCAGGGGAGCAAACGGG
rnacentral:rRNA from 1 species